CAAAGCUGCCGCCAAGACACAAGGCUGCACAGGCCAAGUUAAAUCACAUCCCAAAGCCAAAAGAGGUGGAGACAGUCCAAAAAGAGGAUUCACACCAAGAAGCGAACCAGCCCCUUGGUGGAGCCCCAGCCUUAGGGGGGACUCCAGGAGGACAGGACAGGAGCUGACCCAGCCGGAAGGGGGGAGGGGCAGGCGAGCACACAGCUCCAAGUUUCUCCCCGGGGCCAGCUGCCUCCUGAUUAAACCAGUGUCUGAGGAGAGGAGAGAUCCCCCAAGCAACUCUAGGCAGUGAGACGGAGGAGAAAACAUAGUUAUAAAUCCAGAAGAGAAAAAAAUAGAAAGAAAAAGAAAGCAGUUUACGGAGAAGAGAGCACAGCCUCCCAGAAGCUCCAGCUGGAAAGGCAGUGUGGAGCUGACCCCGCAGGAGGCUGGCCACGCUAGCCCAGGGCUGCUCACUCGGAACAACCUCGUGCUGUAAAAGCUGGAGGCCCUUUAGUAAUUAAGCAAUUUCAAGUUUGUUUGUUUGUUUUAAAGGAAAUGCAUUUUUUUCUUUUUGACUGCCUUCCCUCGCAACAUUUUAUUUUCCCUUCUAGCCCCGUUCUUGCCAUCCGUUUUAAUCCACACACUAAUUGUAAUCCCAUUAAACCAGAUAUAAUUUUA